UACGUAGGCAGCGAGCGUUGUUCGGAGUUACUGGGCGUAAAGAGUGCGUAGGCGGUUUUCUAAGUUUGGUGUGAAAUCUCCCGGCUCAACUGGGAGGGUGCGCCGAAGACUGGAAGGCUUGAGUAUGGGAGAGGUAAGCGGAAUUCCUGGUGUAGCGGUGAAAUGCGUAGAGAUCCGGAGGAACACCAGCGGCGAAGGCGGCAUCCUGGACUGGUCCUGACGCUCAGGAGCGAAAGCGUGGGGAGCGAGUCCGG
rnacentral:rRNA from 1 species